rnacentral:rRNA from 1 species
UACGAAGGGUGCAAGCGUUGUCCGGAAUUAUUGGGCGUAAAGAGCUCGUAGGCGGUCUGUCGCGUCGGAUGUGAAAAUCCAGGGCUCAACCCUGGACCUGCAUUCGAUACGGGCAGACUAGAGUUCGGCAGGGGAGACUGGAAUUCCUGGUGUAGCGGUGAAAUGCGCAGAUAUCAGGAGGAACACCGGUGGCGAAGGCGGGUCUCUGGGCCGAUACUGACGCUGAGGAGCGAAAGCGUGGGGAGCGAACAGG